rnacentral:rRNA from 1 species
UACGAAGGGGGCUAGCGUUGCUCGGAAUCACUGGGCGUAAAGCGCGGGCAGGCGGCUCGAAACGUCUGAUGUGAAAUCUCCUCGCUCAACGGGGAGAGGCCAUUGGAAACGGUCGAGCUGGAGGGCAGUAGAGGUAGGCGGAAUUCCGGGUGGAGUGGUGAAAUGCGUAGAGAUCCGGAGGAACACCAGUGGCGAAGGCGGCUCACUGGCCCGAUACUGACGCUGAGGCACGAAAGCGUGGGGAGCAAACAGGG